UGACAUUGACUUUUAAUGAUUAGCUGAUAUUUCUAUGAUGAGAUCUAUGACCUUAUGGGAGCUGAUUAUAAACAACAUUUCAACUUAAUAACAUGCAACAUUAAAGUUAUUCUCAAUAUAACAUGAGAAAGUGGAUAUGUAAUUUGUAUUAUUUAUUAUAUUUUAUCUUUUUUAUAUAAUCUGUUUUUAUUUCUUUUUUUAGUGGACACACCCACAAGAACAACCCCGGAGAGAGAAAUCAUCUGUGUUACUUUAAAGAAGGAUCCAAAAUUUGGUUUCGGUGAGUGAAAAUGAACAUGCAUCUUUUUUAUAACGUUAAGCUUUUGAAUGCUGAUGUAUCACUUUUGAUGAAAAGGGUUUGUAAUAGUCGGUGAGGACAACACAGGGAAGUUUGAUCUGGGAAUUUUCAUAGCAUCCAUCGUUCCCGACGGGCCAGCUGAUAGGGACGGCAGAAUCAGACCCGGUAAAACCCUGAACAUUUUCCCUCUUUUAUGCCACAAAAAAAAAAGAAAUGAAAAAGAUUUAUUUUCUUUUGUUUGUGUUUAGGUGGUCGGCUGAUCUCUCUGAAUAAGAUCAGUCUAGAAGGGGUGACAUUUAAUAUAGCUGCUGCCAUACUGCAGAGCAGCCCAAAUGAAGUGGAGCUCAUAGUGUCCCAACCCAAACAGGACCUCCGGGACAGUAAGACGUCACUGGCUACAAGUAAUUUAGGGAUGAUGCUGGAAAGAGGCUUUGGCUCUCAAAGCACCCUGAGUGCAGAGUACAGGCCUGUGAUGGAGGAGCUGGAGGAGACCCUCUCCAACAUCAUGGCUCCGAAAAUGGGCAAAAGGCUGCACAUACCUGUGGUGCGGAUUCUGGAUUUUCAGGUGUGAUUUACAGUGAUGCAGUUUGUCCAGUUUAUUUGAAAACAUCUGACAUGAACAAAAACUAACCAAAAUAAUUUUGUUACUGUUCAUCCUGUGCAGGAUAGAAUGUCUAAUAAUUCUUCCAGCUUCAGUUCAAAGCCAAGUGACGUAAUCUACAUGGAGCUCAGAAAGAUCAACAGCAGCUUGGGAAUCAGUGUUGCUGUGAGUUUUUACUCUGUGUGGUGUUCAUGUAAUUUCUCAAAUCAUAAAACAUGGAGUAUAUUACUAUUUUAAUGAUUUGUAGGGGGGAAUCAACACUAAUGUACAUCAUGGAGGAAUCUACAUCACAAGCGUGAUCCCAGGAGGAGCGGCAGAUCAAGAUGGAAGAAUACAGAUAGGUAAAGAUCCAUCAUUACCAAUUAUAAAACCUGAUAUUCAGAUAAAAAUAAUCUUUUCUUAGAAUGAUGUUUUAAAGGACCUAAUUUUUUUAAGAUGAUGAAAUACAGAAAUACAGUCAAAAAUACAGUAAAAACACUACAAAUUUCAAAAUAUUAUUUCAAUUUAAAUGAAUUGUUUUCUAUUUGAAUAUAGUUUAAAAUGUUAUUAUUCCUUUGAUGGUAAAGCUGAUUUUUCAGCAGUGAUUACUCCAGUCUUCAGUGUCACAUGAUAUUUCAGAAAUCAUCC
ensembl:lncRNA